rnacentral:lncRNA from 1 species
UUGUAUCAACUGAAUAAAAAGCUUAAGGUUAUCGAUAGUUUUAUGAUUGAGAUAUGAGAUUUUAAGUUCGAAGAUUUGAGAUUUUAAGUUCGAAAUUUAAUUAUUUUAUAUUUUUAAUUUAUUUUUAAAAAUAAAUAAAACGAGUGGCUUACCAUCUUUUUCUCUUCAAAAAAAAUAAAAUGAAGACACAAUAUACUUAAAAUCUUAGUUUGUGCUUUUGAUUAUGUAUAAUGGAUAUUAAAAGCAUAUGGAUAGAGUUUGAACUUAUAAGGACUUAGGUCCAAAUUAAGCUAAUAGAUGAAAAGAUACAUAGUUCUUAUUUGUAGAGCAGGGCCGUUGUGCUCUCAGGAGCAUGGAGGACGUUUUUGAUGAUGAAAUUUUCAAAUUGACGAUCGGCUCUGUUAGACUUGAUCUAGAGUAUUUGAAGUUUCUAGAAAAUAAUUUUUACGAUUUUUUUAUAUCAUUUACCUAGUGAUCGAAAGGAUUCAAAAUCAAUAAUUUUGAAUGGUUGAUAUCUGCUGUUUUCAAGUUAACGGUGUAGAAUUAUUCAAAUCAGGUGAAAUUUUGAUACAAAUUUUUUUAUACUAUCUACAACAAGAUCAAUAUUACUGAUCGAAAAUUUUAGUGCUAUAUCACCACUUUUUAUAGGAUUUUUAUUUUCAGCCGUUAAAAAUUAUUGAUUUUGAAUCAUUUCGAUUACUAGGUAAAUGAUAUCGAAAAAUUGCAAAAAUUAUUUUUUAGAAACUUCAAAUAAGCUAGAUCAAGUCUAACGGAGCCGAUCGUCGAUUCGAAAAUUCCAUCAUCGAAAACGGCUCAGGAGAGGACAUGUCAUGCUCCUUAUUUGUAUAUCACGGAUACUUCUUUAAGCCUCACGUGUUCGUAUCGGAUACAUGCGUGUCUGUAUUGGACUCGUGUCUCUCAUGGACAUAUCAUGGAUGCAAGUUCGACACAGAUUCAUUAUGCAUCCCAUUAAAAAAAAAUUUUAUUUUUAUUUUUUUAUACAUAUAUAAUAUAAGAUGAGAUAUAUUUUGACUUUUUGAUAAAUACAUAUAAUUUUUUUUGAACAGUAUAAAUAAAUUAUAUGGGGGGAAUUUUCUUUCUUAAAAUAUAUGAAUUAUCAAUACAAAUUUUAUUAACUUUCAUUCGUUUGAGCAAUAUAAUAAUAUUAUAGCAAAAUUAAUAUUUUAUAUAUAAUAAAUAUAUUAUUAUAUUAAUAAUAUUAUAUUUUAUUAGCAAUAUUCAAACUGUAUUCGUAUUAUAAUUUUUUGAAAGUUGUCAAGCCGUCUUAUUCCGAGUCGUGCCAUAUCCCAUAUCCCAUAUCCUGUGUCCGUAUCCGUAACGUCUAGAUUUUUAUUAUAUAUCAGCCGCAAUUUUAAUUUGUUUUUGAGCAAAAAUUUUGGAUGGAAUUAAAAU